ensembl:processed_transcript RIKEN cDNA 2010001A14 gene
GCGGACCGCAGGUUUAGUCCUGGCUGUGGAGUUGGGAUGCUGAGAUGGGUCUGGAGAGAUGCAGGAUGUUCUAGUCCCAGUUAGGAUGGUAAAUAGGGUCCUCGCUCCGAGGAGGGAUGCUGAACGGGGUCUGGAAGAAUGCAAGAUGUCCUGGUCCGGGCCAGGAGUGGGUAAGUGGAUAGAGGGAUGUUAGAAGGAGAAUUGUAGUGAAUCACCCUUCUCUCCAAUCACCUGACAGCAAUGAUCCCACAUCAUCCCAGCCCAAAAGACGCAGGGUUGGUGGUCGUGCUGAGCAGCUACUGGACAGGAGCUGGACGUCAGAUCCCUGUGGGGAUAUAAGAGGAUGUUUCCAGAAAGACCAAACUAAAAAGGAAAGUCCAACCCUGAAUGUGGAGGACAGCCUCCCCUAGGCUGGGCUCCCAGACUGAGUAAGAAGAAAAUGAGCUGAGCACGCUUCCCCCCUCCCCCUCUCUCUCCCCUACCCCCCCCAUACAAUGUGGUCAGUUACCAG